AUUCUCUACCAUAGGGUUCCUUCCUUCCCAAACUACAUUUCCCAGAAUUCAGUGCUUUCUCAGUCUUUUCCCCAGCUCACUCAGUCUGUCCCGCCCUGCUGCUUUCCUCUCCUCAGGGUGAGAGGCAACCUAUCUCUUCUUAUUUUAAAGAGGAAUGGCAGCUUUUUUGGCUUUGCCUUGCUUGUGCUGAAAAUAAAACUGCCUUCCGAGCAUUACAGAAUUCAAACAAAAAGUACUGGGAACAACGAGUGUUUGCACUGCUGUUCAGUCUAUAAGAGACCCACCACGGCACUGUGUGACAAAGAAUUUCAUGGAAAGAAUAAGAGCAAUGUGUUUCCUGAGAUUCUGAAGCAUUUUCUCAAGAAGGGGUGGGGGAUGUAAGUAGUAUGGAAAAAUGAUAUGAACAUGUAGGGCACAGAAAGAUAUUGAGUGGAUUUAUUAGGCUAUGUUUUCCCUUAACAUUUGGUCCCAAAAUUCCAAGAGAGUGUGCUACUUUUCUUCAGAAAAGAUUUAUAGCAAGUUUGAGAUACACGUUUUUCAAAUUCCAACUCAUCAAAAGAAACAACAUUGUAUCUUGUAGAUAACACAAUUUCUAUAGUUUGCUUUCUGCUGGCAGAUAUUAGACCCCUAUAUCCACAUCAUGACUACAUAAAUGUGAUAUCUGGCUUUGAAUUUCUGAUAUUUUUUAUGUUACCCAGAGAAAAUUGUAUUCUACUUAGUGUUCCAUCAGUCUCUCACGGCAUAAGUAUGAGCUACUUUGAUGUGCAUAAUGGGUCUCUUGAAGGGUUUUCUGUUUCCCAGAUGUUUGUCAAACCCUCUUUCAUAAUGUCAAGGUCAUUUGACUAGGCCUGGAGCUUGUGUGAGGAAACAAAGGGGAAAAAUAUAUCUUUACAGAAAGGUUACAUGAUACAGCUACUGGUUUGCUGGUAGAAAUAUGCAAGUAGAUCUGCCUCAAUAUUAUGCUUCCAUGCUUAUUCUUGAAAUUUGGCCCUUCGGGGAAUAUUUGGUGAGUUGUAACUCCCAGGGCUCCUAGAAGUUGUAUGAUUACUCUCAGAACCUAAGGCUGUGAUCCAAAGUUUUUCUUUACCUGUUUCUGAUUCAUUUAUCCAGGAAAUGGAGACAUUUCUCAUUUAAGAAACUCCUGAUUUUUUAAUUCUAAUCUUUUCUGCUAUUUGUACACAUAUGCUUUCUUCAGACAUGAACAUUGUUUCUAUUGUGUCUGUUCCAGUGUCUGCUUUGAAGUGAGGAGCUAGAAUUGUUCAGCAUGUAUACAAACUGAAUAUACUUCUGAAGUGAAACUCUAUCUUUUCAUAUCUUUCCUAUUUUAAAAAUGGUUUAACUCAGCUGAUAGCAAGAACAUAAUGGAUAAUUUAGGCAAGAUAGAUGGAUUAACACAUGCAAGAGAAAAGGGAUAUCAGAACUGAUGUGUUAUUCAUGUUUUCCUUGAUGUGCAAUACAUUUUUUCAUCUUUCCUUAGUGCAGGGAUAAAUGGGUCCCAACCUGGUUUACACCUGGUUUACUUGAGUUAAAGACCUGAUGAUCCUGGAUGUCAUGUAGUGACUUUUGGACCACUGCAAGCUUUUUGGCCAGUGUAAACAAGCACUAACUCUUCCAUUCACAUCAUACAAACAGGCCUUUGGACAUCUUGCACAUAUGCACAUCAUCCCGAAAAAUCUGUUGAUGGCAUGCAUUUAGACACACUUGUAAAAAGCAGUCCUUAAUUCUCU
rnacentral:lncRNA from 1 species